rnacentral:rRNA from 1 species
GACGAAGGAUGCAAGCGUUAUCCGGAUUCAUUGGGUUUAAAGGGAGCGUAGGCGGACUUAUAAGUCAGUGGUGAAAUCUCUGGGCUUAACUCAGAAACUGCCAUUGAUACUGUAGGUCUAGAGUACAUUUGCUGUGGGCGGAAUAUGACAUGUAGUGGUGAAAUACUUAGAUAUGUCAUAGAACACCGAUUGCGAAGGCAGCUCACAAAAAUGUAACUGACGCUGAGGCUCGAAAAGUGCGGGGAUCAAAACAGG